rnacentral:rRNA from 1 species
UGGGGAAUAUUGGACAAUGGGGGGAACCCUGAUCCAGCCAUGCCGCGUGUGUGAAGAAGGCCUUAUGGUUGUAAAGCACUUUAAGUUGGGAGGAAGGGCAGUAAGCGAAUACCUUGCUGUUUUGACGUUACCGACAGAAUAAGCACCGGCUAACUCUGUGCCAGCAGCCGCGGUAAUACAGAGGGUGCGAGCGUUAAUCGGAUUUACUGGGCGUAAAGCGUGCGUAGGCGGCUGAUUAAGUCGGAUGUGAAAUCCCUGAGCUUAACUUAGGAAUUGCAUUCGAUACUGGUCAGCUAGAGUAUGGGAGAGGAUGGUAGAAUUCCAGGUGUAGCGGUGAAAUGCGUAGAGAUCUGGAGGAAUACCGAUGGCGAAGGCAGCCAUCUGGCCUAAUACUGACGCUGAGGUACGAAAGCAUGGGGAGCAAACAGG